GGUCAAUCGGUUUUUUUUUAUAAAUCAUUAAUACGGUGACUGAAUGGGUUCGUAUACAUAAACAAGUUCAAGUUAGUCUUCUGUUGUACUUGUGCUGUUGAAUGUUAUAUAACUUUCAGACGUUGAGAACAUUUGUUGGACGGACUAACGAUGAGCUCUGGAAGUAUCUGUGCACCACUGUGUGCAUACUUCUGCUUCUUUGUCGUACCAUUCAUAUUUCAAAGCGUUGGUCUCUUCACACCAAAGUGGGCCUCAAAUGCAACAUGUGACUCUAUUGGACUUAUGUAUAGUUGUUGCACCGGAAAUAACACUGAAGCCUGUCAAACUACAAAUGGAAGAAACAUGUUGGACGCCUGGGCUUUAGGGUUACACACUAUGUCGUUUGUAUUUAUGGUACUUGCUAUGUUGGUUUCGUUCUGUGGAGUAUCAAGUGCUUGCGGAAUGUGUCAUAGAUGUUAUGACAAGAAUGAGGAUUUUGGUGUUAAAACUGCUCGCCGGAUUUGCGAUAAGCUGUUCGGAGUAAUAUUGCAUUUGGUCGCUUUCCUGUUAUUUGCGAUUGCAGGUAAAAAUUAUGCUAGUAUAAUAAUAAUA